AUGACUUAGCUUUAAUUCUCUUCUAGGCUUUUUAAUCAGGCUGCAGUGUACAGACAUACUUCAAGAGGAUCCUUAGAAGUCUUGGACAAGCUUACCCUUAUGUGGCAGCACUCCUCUUGCUGAUGACACAGUUCCUCUGUGAAUCCGUUUACAAGAUUCUGAAAGCUGAACAGAGAAUUUUGGCACUGCACUGGGUAGGAAAAAGCCUUGCAAGAAAUAGAUAACAUCAAGGACAUCAGGAGAGGGAGAGAUUGGACUGGGAGACUCAGCAGGUCAGGAC
rnacentral:lncRNA from 1 species